GGGUCGUUAGCUCAGUCGGUAGAGCAGUUGGCUUUUAACCAAUUGGUCGCUGGUUCGAACCCAGCACGACCCA
rnacentral:tRNA from 1 species